rnacentral:tRNA from 1 species
GCUGGCGUAGCUCAACUGGCAGAGCAGCUGCUUUGUAAGCAGCAGGUCGUGGGUUCGAAUCCCACCGCCAGCU